rnacentral:ncRNA from 1 species
ACAAAGAUAAAAACGCAUCGCGCACCUGUCCGGUGCGCCAGAGCUGGUCGGUAGCCCAGCCGUCUGAAGCGAACGCUUCAGGUAAGUAACCUGCCCCUCCGGGUUGUCCGUUCUUUGUAA